UUCACCAACUGAGGACUAAGCAUUGACAUA
rnacentral:piRNA from 1 species